rnacentral:rRNA from 1 species
GACGAACGCUGGCGGCGUGCCUAAUACAUGCAAGUUGAGCGAUGAAGAUUGGUGCUUGCACCAAUUUGAAGAGCAGCGAACGGGUGAGUAACGCGUGGGGAAUCUGCCUUUGAGCGGGGGACAACAUUUGGAAACGAAUGCUAAUACCGCAUAACAACUUUAAACAUAAGUUUUAAGUUUGAAAGAUGCAAUUGCAUCACUCAAAGAUGAUCCCGCGUUGUAUUAGCUAGUUGGUGAGGUAAAGGCUCACCAAGGCGAUGAUACAUAGCCGACCUGAGAGGGUGAUCGGCCACAUUGGGACUGAGACACGGCCCAAACUCCUACGGGAGGCAGCAGUAGGGAAUCUUCGGCAAUGGACGCAAGUCUGACCGAGCAACGCCGCGUGAGUGCAGAAGGUUUUCGGCUCGUAAAACUCUGUUGGUAGAGAAGAACGUUGGUGAGAGUGGAAAGCUCAUCAAGUGACGGUAACUACCCAGAAAGGGACGGCUAACUACGUG